GGAUCUUGUUACACUCCCUUGAAGGCCAAGUCCCUGAAACUUGGAGAACUUAGCGAACGUAGAGGCACACAGCCACCAAGUGGCAGAGCUGGCUCUGGGAGCCCGGUCUGUCUCACUUGGUGGUCUGUUCCUGUAGGCGCCACAUUAUUUGCCAUUUUAUGGUAGAAAGAGGGUGUAGCUAAAGGCCCCAAAGCCUGCAAGUUGUCGUUUUCUCAUUCCAGGUCAUUGGCAGAACCAGAAAUGGGAUCCAGAUUUUAGAGUCUUGGUCCAUGGACAGCUAAUUGGCUGCGUUGGCUUCUUUGGAACACAUCUUCUUUCUCACUGUUUCAGAAAAUAAGAUUUGAAGUAAAACAUAUGCUAAUAGAAUUUUUUUUUCUUUUAGACUGCACACAAAAUGCACACUAUGCAUUUGGGGACUUUAUAGUCCACUCUGGUGAACAGAAAUACAGAAUGUCCAGGCCUCAGGGCCAAGCCCACUUGAGAACUGUCUUUGCCUUGAUAUCAACACCAGGUCCACACAGAGGGCUACGCAGGGCCCAGAAAGUCUCCCCACCCGAGGUUAGCAAUUUGCUCACAAGGAGCAGUCUCAGUGGGGAGUAUUAGGCUUCAGAGCACACCCAUGUCUCUCAUCUUUCCCUCAGAGUGGGGUAAGGCUACCUGCUUGUCAUGGCUGGAGACUUUCCGGCUUGCUGUUGUUUGCAAAGGCAGAGACAUUAGCCUGAAUUCCAAUAAACCAAAUCCUGUUAAAUUGUGCUACUAUCAGGCCAGCUCUUUCAAAUUGUGCUUAGGAACUCUGGUUGAGAGACAUCAAACAAUAUGUCAUUCGAUGGUUUCCAGGCUCAGAAGAAAAUGGUUGAAGACCAUAAGUCAUGGCUUCCUUACAUCUACCAUAACUGUUGGCUUUUCUCACUGAAUUCCCCCAAUUUCCACUACAAGGUUUUAUAAAGAAAAGAUGAUAUUGUAUUUAUUCCUGUGACUUUUAUGGGGGCAUUUGAGACUUUCCAACAAUCAAUUUAGGUACCUGAAGGUUAUUUUCAAAGUGGAUUCCGUUCCUAUAAAAAGCAUGGUGUAAGCUGAGGUCAAAUGCAUUUGACAGAAUUUUUAAACCUUUCUCUUGCCUACCCAUACUGACUGGUAUAUUAAAUAAACAUGCAUCUCUAUAAUACAAUGACUUUCCUGCACUCUAACAGUGUGGAAAUGGCAGAAAAAUGUCACAUAAUUAGAUGUUCAGUAUGACCCUUGUCUUAUAAUGAAUAUGGAUUUCAAUUUUAUUUAUUAUUAUUUUUUAAGAUUUACUUAUUCAUGAGAGACACACAGAGAGAGGCAGAGACACAGGUAGAGGGAGAAGCAGGUUCCCUGCAAGGAGUCUGAAGUGGGACUCCAUCCCAGGACCCCGGGAUCACAACCUGAGCCAAAGGCAGAUGCUCAACCACUGAGCCACCCAGGCAUCCUUGGAUUUCAAUUUUAGAGUGAAUAUGGACUUUAUGGAUCCAUCUCUAUAUCCUAGUAAAUGGGAAUGAAAAGGUGAGAAAUUGAAUCAAAGGUGAUUUCGAUAAGAAGACCAAACAGGGAACAACAGUUUGUAGUAAGGGACACUGACCAGACAUUUGGAGGACAUGAAUUCCACCCUGGACGUUAGUUCAUUAGUUUCCUACUGCUGCUGAAGCAGAUGACCACUGUCAUAGUAGCUUCAAACAACAUCCAUUUAUUUCCUUUUAGUUUUGUAGAUUAGGAGUCUGGUAGGCUCGUCUCAAGCUCACUCAGGCUGACCUCAAGGUGUCUGCAUUCCUUCCCGGGAAUCUCUCCCUCCAGUCUCAAUCAGGUUGUUCACUCAACUUGGUUCUUUGUUGUUGAAGAACUGAGGUCUCCAUUUUCUUGCUGGCCACCCACUGGAAGUUUUUUCUCAGCUCCUAGAAGCCACCCACAUUCCCUGGCUCAUGGCUCCCUUUCCCCAUCUUCAAAACCAACAGAGUCACUGGAAACACAUUAGAGGAGGCCAUGGAGAGGACAUGACUUACGAGCUGGACCCAGACAAUCAGAAGCUACUCAACCCUCCCCUGUCCUGGGAAUGUACAUUUUGCCCAUGGAUCCUACAAUCAGAGCUGUUGUCAAGGAUGCAGCCUUGAGAGAGCAACGUGUCAUUGAGACCAUCUGGACCCAGUUAGGGCCUCUGUAUAAACUUUUAAGAUGUGGCAGGUGGUGUGGAGAUCUACUGGUCCUGUGGCCACCCCCAACGAGCCUGAUGAGAAAUCUGCAGCGUGGGGAAUCAUGAUGCUGGUGGCCGUGAUGCGAAGCUGGGGCCGGAGGAUCUGAGAACCCAGGCUCAGGAAUCCAAUGAGCUAUCAUGAAGCAUUCCAGUUUUCCAUGACAACACAGAGGAGGAUGGUGGCCAACUUUCUACCAGCCCAAGAGAAGGAGAAUUAUAGGCUGCAUAGAAGAUUUUAACUUCAAUACAAAGAAGGACUUUGAUCGGGGUGAUUACAAAUAAAUCAGCUCAUCAAAGUGAA